UGCGAUCCAGCUUCAGCUUCAUCUUCUGCGUCCAGAUGCCCUUGGACUUCUCCAUUUGAAACAACUUCCGCAACCCAUCCUUGGGGGUCUCCAGCGCUGGAAGGUGCGAAGGUGUGGAGUUUGCUCAAGGCUUUGCUACCUUGGACACUGGGCCCAACGGUGGCAAGUCGCUGGAGUCACUGGGUCGCACAUAGAGGGCAGCGCACAAUCAUCAAGUAUGCUGACAAAAUAACGAGAGGAGUGAGUUCUGCAGAACAAAUCCGGGUCCUUCGCUCUUGUGGCUGCGGUCGGGUUCCACUACUGCGAGGAGUCGCCACCGACUCGUCGAGGACAUUCGUCGGGGCCUGGCGCGAAUGACACUGACAUGGCAAAAGAAAAAUGGAAUGCAUUGUAGUUGGACAAACCAUUGCAAGUCGUCACCACCGGCUUUUAUACUACCGGCCAUGGCACCGGUAACCUCUCAAUCUAAAAGCUUGAGUGGAGUCAUCCCUGGCUUGCUGCCAUCUGCACAUUGUCUGCACUGCCGCCUGCUGCCCUGUACUGCAAUCGAGACACCCGGGGCAGUGGAGAUGCAUGUGGCAGGUUUGGCACAAUUGGCUUGGAACGUUCGGCAGCUGGGACAGAAGCCAGCAGUCACCAGCUGCUGCUGCAACUUUCUUGGCAGGAAACGCGUCGGUGCCGACUACCACGUUGCCGUUUCCAGAGUCCUGGCUUAGAGUUGUGCUGUCCAGUCUGCAGAGUUGCUGCUGCGAGCAGUGGACUGCUGUAGUGCCAGGAAUGCCGUAGGAUGCAUACUUCAAUAAGUCCGAUGAAGAUUCUUGCAAAAGGGGCAGUAGCAUUAGUAAAACUAAAAGUUAUCACUUGAGAAUGCCGCCCCUGUGUGGUUCGUACCUGUGGCCAAUGAAGUGCAAAUGGUGAUGACAGUGCACCAUUUCCAGAGGAAAACCUUAUUAAUAGAAAAAAAAAAGGGGGAAGGUACUAUCUACGAAGGUAAAUUCUGAAUGUCCAGUUUUUUCUUAUUGCAAACAUGGAAAGCAUGCUACAUUUCUCUCUUAUGAAUCGGACGCAUGUUACAUUUGGGUGCAUUUUUAUUUUCUUACUUUAAGCCCAUGAAUAUUGGGUGCGUGUUAGAAUCGGGUAAAUACAGAACAUGCGUCAACUUUCUUGUGCACGUGAAGCCAGCACGUGCCUCAUGUGAUUCUUGUGCCCAUGAAAAUGGCUCACUGCAACAAUCACAAAUAUGCCUCAGGAUAGGAGAGACAUAAUUUUUAUGGCAACAAACUACUAGGAAUAGAGUAAUUAACAGCGAUAGAACGAGGAAUGUCACUGAAGUAGAACAAGGAAUGGCUUCAGUGACAUUCCUUAUUCUGCCACUGUUAAUAACUAUCUGUAAACCUCUGUUUUAUUUUGUAUUAGCAAUAGCGGACACAGAAAGCUGGAUAUAUGCAUAUUAAUUUAUAAACUAUAAACUCAAAAUGGCAUGAUAUUUUAUUAGUUACUGGCUCUAGGCUUUGUGCUUUAAUUGUUGAACAGAGGGGAGACAACACAAAGAUGCUCUUAUGUCUCGUCUUUAAUUCAGCUGGUAAAUUUGCCCGUCUUGAACCAAAUGAACCAUGUGGCUUAAAGGGACCCUAAAAUGAUUUUGACAAUUUUGCACAAACGUACUGAGUCAUUAAGGUAGGUCUUCCUGAUCAUUAAGUGAUGCAUUCAGGUGCUCCAUGUAAUGCGCGCAAUUUAUUAUCGAUACCAUUGAACAGGCUGUCUCCACCACUGGUGUAUCUUACAUUCUUGCGUUAUUGUGCCUUCGCAAACAAUAACCUUCUUGUAACUAUAGUGUACUUGUGUCAUGUCAACCUUUUUAUUUAUUUAUUUGUACUAUGUCACCACAUUGUAUUGUUUGAUACUGCGUUGCUUCUGUUAAACUUGUGUUUGAUUCAAUCGCCCCCCCUCCUACUCUAUGUUACUGACGGAACCUGUAAGGAAACCUGAAUGAAUGAAUGAAUGAAUGAAUGAAUGAAUGAAUGAAUGAAUAAACAAACAAAUAAAUAAAUAAAAGGUUUUAAAAAAUGUGCAUAGCAACCAAUCGCAGCAGCGCCGCUCCCCUGAGUUAUCAGCCGCUCCAUUACAAUCUAUGUAAUUUGUUGCACUUGACUUCAGUUGGGCGAACUGUCCGAUUGGCUACCCAAUUUGCGUGAUCAAUAAUGUUUCCAACUUCAUUGUGAACCAAUGUUGUUCGUAAUAGUUGGAAUGUUGGUUAACCUGUUUGUAUAUAUAAAAGAAAGCAACCGUAAAAGAAUACACAAUGUCAAUUUAUCACUACACUCAAGCACUUCCGGCACACAGAAAGUGUUGUCUGCUUGUGUUAGAAUGUGCACUAUGCUUAGGUGAGCUGCGCAUUCAGUGUUGGUCUAGAAGUUUUGUUUCAUGAAAACCAUGAAUCACCCUUGUUGCAGUGUGCACUGCAAAUCUAGUGAUUGGCGACAUUUCCAAGUUGCGAAAUCGUGUCCCUCUGCUGAGUGUCUAAAGUGCAUCAGGCCGCAGAUAUGCAAUCGGCGCCAGGAUCUAUGCAUUUGCGGCCAUCACUUCAUACCGGAGGAUUACUUGCCACAGCAAGCAGUUUUAGCGUGUCCAGUAUUUUGGUAAACACAGGUGAACUGCGCAUUUCGCCAGUAGGCGGAAGCACAAAUGUGAGUGUCCUGUAGGUAGCAGCCACCUCGUGGCACAGAGCCCAAUCAAACACAGAGCUAAUAUAGCAUUAGCCAAGUGUGUUUUACUUUGUCGUUUGUGCAAAUUUUCAUUUGUACAAUUUCUUUUGAAAUGUUUAAAAUGUUUUACUCUUGGUUACUACAAUAUUAGCUCUUUGUUUGGCUGCUGAAGCUCUGCACCACCAGGUGGCUAUACAGUGCAGGCUUCUCGCUCAUGCUUGUGCUAAAGCCUUUUCAUCACAGCAGUAGUAGUAUGGAGGGGGCUUUAGUUUACGCAUUUGCUCGUCCAUCAAAACACCCAGCUUGCUAGCAUUUGCUGGAACCCUAGACACGCUCGGCAUAGUGACAGAACGCUUUCAAUACACGCGGCUUGGAUAGCUCUUGCUGGGGAUUGAUGGCCAGGUGGCCAGCAGAGAGGUUGAAGACGCUUCGCGUGCUGUCUCCAAGACACACCAGAAGUAGAUGUCAUGAGGUCACAUCAUGACGCAGAGCGAGCGUAGGCAGAGGUUAGCCCUGAUCGCUCUGCAAACGAGUUGAGGAGAAAAAGCAUGGCUAGGGAGACGGGUAACUUAAUAUUGACUGUAGCUCUUUUAAUAUGAGAUGCUUCAAAUAAAUUGUUGCGUGAAUGUUUUAUUGUAGCUGUACCCUAUGCGUCUACAAAAUUUGUCCAAACUGUUUCGGGGUCCCUUUAAUAGAAUACCAUUCCAAGUGUGUCUGAGGCUUGUCUACUGAUUAAGAAUUGUCAUACUAACACCAGCUUCUACAUCAGUGCUUGCAAAAACAGGCUUCAAAAUACAUAUGCACUACUUUACCCAAAUAUUUGAACAAGGCUUUUAGAGACUGUAAUAGCAGUGCAUAAAGCAAUGCAUUUUACAACACAUGAACUGUCACUAUUUCAAGGCACACUUCAGCUAUAAAUGUGGUGAAGCUGGUACUGAUGGCUAGUGUGCAUAAUCUUGGAUUUCUAGCUUCGAUUCCAUACCACAUAUAACACCUGGCCUAAACAAGAGAAUGGCAAGUUGAAAGGGAUGCAUGCAGCAUAGUAAACAAGGUGACGAAGGUUGA